UACGUAGGCAGCGAGCGUUGUUCGGAGUUACUGGGCGUAAAGAGUGCGUAGGCGGUUUUCCAAGUUUGGUGUGAAAUCUCCCGGCUUAACUGGGAGGGUGCGCCGAAAACUGGGAGGCUAGAGUAUGGGAGAGGUAAGCGGAAUUCCUGGUGUAGCGGUGAAAUGCGUAGAUAUCAGGAGGAACACCUGCGGUGUAGACGGCUUACUGGACCAUAACUGACGCUGAGGCACGAAAGCGUGGGUAGCAAACAGG
rnacentral:rRNA from 1 species